rnacentral:rRNA from 1 species
AGCGAACGCUGGCGGCAGGCCUAACACAUGCAAGUCGAACGAAGUCUUCGGACUUAGUGGCGGACGGGUGAGUAACACGUGGGAACGUACCUUUUGGUUCGGAACAACUCAGGGAAACUUGAGCUAAUAACGGAUGAGCCCUUCGGGGGAAAGAUUUAUCGCCAUUAGAGCGGCCCGCGGUAGAUUAGCUAGUUGGUGAGGUAAAGGCUCACCAAGGCUACGAGAUAUAGCUGGUCUGAGAGGAUGAUCAGCCACACCGGGACUGAGACACGGCCCAGAAUCCUACGGGAGGCAGCAGUGGGGAAUUGUGCGCAAUGGGCGAAAGCCUGACGCAGCCAUGCCGCGUGAAUGAUGAAGGUCUUAGGAUUGUAAAAUUCUUUUACCAGGGACGAUAAUGACGGUACCUGGAGAAAAAGCCCCGGCUAACUUCGUGCCAGCCGCCGCGGUAAAAC